rnacentral:rRNA from 2 species
GAAUUUUAUAUAAAUUUUAAUUAGUUAUUUUGAUUAUAAAGAUUUAAUUGAUUAGGGUUUAUAUUUGAUUGGGAGGAUAGUUAAAUUAAAUGAACUUUAAUUGAAGAAAACAUUGAUUUAUGAAAUUAUAAGAGAUUAAUAUUUUUUUGAAAAAAAAAUAUUAUAAAAGAAUUAAUUACCUUAGGGAUAACAGCGUAAUAUUUUUAAAAAGAUCUUAUUAAUAAAAAUGAUUGC